GAUGAACGCUGGCGGCGUGCCUAAUACAUGCAAGUCGAGCGAACAGAUGAGGAGCUUGCUCCUCUGACGUUAGCGGCGGACGGGUGAGUAACACGUGGAUAACCUACCUAUAAGACUGGGAUAACUUCGGGAAACCGGAGCUAAUACCGGAUAAUAUAUUGAACCGCAUGGUUCAAUAGUGAAAGACGGUUUUGCUGUCACUUAUAGAUGGAUCCGCGCCGCAUUAGCUAGUUGGUAAGGUAACGGCUUACCAAGGCAACGAUGCGUAGCCGACCUGAGAGGGUGAUCGGCCACACUGGAACUGAGACACGGUCCAGACUCCUACGGGAGGCAGCAGUAGGGAAUCUUCCGCAAUGGGCGAAAGCCUGACGGAGCAACGCCGCGUGAGUGAUGAGGUCUUCGGAUCGUAAAACUCUGUUAUUAGGGAAGAACAAAUGUGUAAGUAACUAUGCACGUCUUGACGGUACCUAAUCAGAAAGCCACGGCUAACUACGUG
rnacentral:rRNA from 1 species